rnacentral:rRNA from 1 species
CUUGAACUCUGGCGGCAGGCCUAACACAUGCAAGUCGAGCGAGCGGCGGACGGGUGAGUAAUGUAUGGGGAUCUGCCUGAUGGAGGUGGAUAACUACUGGAAACGGUCGCUAAUACCGCAUACCAUCAGAUGGACCCAUAUGGGAUUAGCUAGUAGGUAGGGUAACGGCUUACCUAGGCGACGAUCCCUAGCUGGUCUGCGAGGAUGAUCAGACACACUGGGACGGAGACACGGCCCAGAAGCCUACGGGAGGCAGCAGUGGGGAAUAGUGAACAAGGGGCGCAAGCCUGAUGCAGCCAUGCCGCGUGGAUGAAGAAGGCCUUCGGGUUGUAAAGUACUUUCAGUGAGGAGGCGUUACCGACAGAAGAAGCACCGGCUAACUCCGUGCCAGCAGCCGCGGUAAUUC